GCGUUAGUCCAAGGCCUUCUAAAAGGAGAAGGCCUGUGCAUAGGGGGCGUGACGUCAGCCUACGUCACGGGGGUUGGGCCAUGGAUAGCGACCUGCUUGUAUGGCAACUCGGGAGCUAUCUGGAGAAUCUGGCAGCGAACGGGUCGCGACCGGGAUGACCAGUCGAGGAUUGCUCGUGACCCGUGAGGAGAGCCUGAUUUACUGCGGCAUAUUUUACACCAUAUUGCCGAGACUUUAGGAUAAAUCUGUGAUAAUAGAGACAACACAAUGCCGGGGAAGUGCUCCGUGCCUCUCUGCAGAGGAAAUUAUGAUAGUGAUUCUCGUGUUAGUGUCUUCUCCUUCCCGAAGAAUCCAGAGCAGCUGACCACAUGGGUCCGGGCCAUUCACCGCGAGGAUUCUUUUGUCCCCACAAACUAUACCAAAGUGUGUGAACUUCACUUUCGUCCGGAGGAAAUCGAGCGGGAGACUUCAUUUUUUGAUGAGCGAACCGGCAGAACACUUACAGCAAAACUGUCAAUGCCAAGGCUUCGUACUGGAGCUGUUCCAUCAGUAUUUCCUAAUUGUCCCUCCUACCUCUCUUCAUCUGCAACGUUGAGAGAACCACCUGAGGAAAGGAAGUGCCGGAAAGAAAAGGUUGCUCUUCAAGCUGCCAUAGCACAAAGCAUCGAGGAAGACUUUACAGUACCAGCAGCAAAGAAAAUUUCCUUUUAGAAGGCCUUGGUUAGUCUCGGCCCCAAAAUGCCUUGGUGUGACGUCACGGAGUGACAAACUGACCGCAGGUUAGGCCUACUUGAGACCUGAGAUCUCCUUAGUAGGCCUCCAAUAUCAAUAUAAGGUCUCUGGUUUUUUAUUUCCAUUAUAAAUAUUUACCGUUCUCCCGCAAUAAUUAAAAGAAGGCAGAUUGACCACUUUUGGCAACGAUACCCUGUUUUGACCCCUGACACCUCUGAAUUUUGUUGACACUACAGAUUGUAGGGGAGAUAUGGGAGCACAACAGCCUCUUUGUUUCAACACCCAUCUCUUCCCUCUCGCUCUCUCUAAUCUCUCUCCCUUCUCUCUCAAACUUCUUUCUCUCUCUCUCCUUUCAUACUUUUCAUUUUCUUCCUCCUUCUCUUGUGUACUUCCUUCUUUCCUUUCUCUCUCUCUCUCUCUCUCUCUCUCUCUCUCUCUCUCUCUCUCUCUCUCUCUCUCUCUC